AGUGAACGCUGGCGGUAGGCCUAACACAUGCAAGUCGAACGGCAGCACAGUAAGAGCUUGCUCUUACGGGUGGCGAGUGGCGGACGGGUGAGGAAUACAUCGGAAUCUACUUUUUCGUGGGGGAUAACGUAGGGAAACUUACGCUAAUACCGCAUACGACCUACGGGUGAAAGCAGGGGAUCUUCGGACCUUGCGCGAUUGAAUGAGCCGAUGUCGGAUUAGCUAGUUGGCGGGGUAAAGGCCCACCAAGGCGACGAUCCGUAGCUGGUCUGAGAGGAUGAUCAGCGACACUGGAACUGGGACACGGUCCAGACUCCUACGGGAGGCAGCAGUGGGGAAUAUUGGACAAUGGGCGCAGGCCUGAUCCAGCCAUACCGCGUGGGUGAAGAAGGCCUUCGGGUUGUAAAGCCCUUUUGUUGGGAAAGAAAAGCAGCAGGUUAAUACCCCGCUGUUCUGACGGUACCCAAAGAAUAAGCACCGGCUAACUUCGUG
rnacentral:rRNA from 1 species